rnacentral:tRNA from 1 species
UCGGCAAGAUUGGAUUUGAACCAAUAACCUUAGUCUUAUCAAGACUAAGCUUUUCCUAUUAAGCUACAUGCCG